rnacentral:rRNA from 1 species
GUGGAGAUGUGGUUUAAUUCGAAGCAACGCGAAGAACCUUACCAGGUCUUGACAUCCUUUGACCACUCUAGAGAUAGAGCUUUCCCUUCGGGGACAAAGUGACAGGUGGUGCAUGGUUGUCGUCAGCUCGUGUCGUGAGAUGUUGGGUUAAGUCCCGCAACGAGCGCAACCCUUAUUGUUAGUUGCCAUCAUUAAGUUGGGCACUCUAGCGAGACUGCCGGUGACAAACCGGAGGAAGGUGGGGAUGACGUCAAAUCAUCAUGCCCCUUAUGACCUGGGCUACACACGUCUACAAUGGACAGUACAAUGAGCAGCGACACGGCGACGUGAAGCGAAUCUCAUAAAGCUGUUCUCAGUUCGGAUUGUAGGCUGCAACUCGCCUACAUGAAGCCGGAAUCGCUAGUAAUCGCGGAUCAGCACGCCGCGGUGAAUACGUUCCCGGGCCUUGUACACACCGCCCGUCACACCACGAAAGUUUGUAACACCCGAAGUCGGUGAGGUAACCGCAAGGAGCCAACCGCCUAAGGUGGGAUAGAUGAUUGGGGUGAAGUCGUAACAAGGUAACCAAGGGCGAAUUCCAG